CUACGGGACGCUCCAGUAAGGAAUAUUGCGCAAUGGAGGCAACUCUGACGCAGCCAUGCCGCGUGCAGGAAGAAGGCCUUAUGGGUCGUAAACUGCUUUUAUUUAGGAAUAAACCCCCGAACGUGUUCGGGGCUGAAGGUACUAAACGAAUAAGCACCGGCUAACUCCGUGCCAGCAGCCGCGGUAAUACGGAGGGUGCAAGCGUUAUCCGGAUUUAUUGGGUUUAAAGGGUGCGCAGGCGGGCUAUUAAGUCAGUGGUGAAAUCCCGGGGCUCAACUCCGGAACUGCCAUUGAUACUGAUAGUCUUGAGUUUGGUUGAAGUGGGCGGAAUGUAGCAUGUAGCGGUGAAAUGCAUAGAUAUGCUACAGAACACCAAUCGCGAAGGCAGCUCACUAAGCCAAAACUGACGCUCAUGCACGAAAGCUGGGGGAGCGAACGGAUUAGAUACCCCUGUAGUC
rnacentral:rRNA from 1 species